UUUAAUAUGGCAGAAUAAAUAGUGCAUUGGAUUUAAACCCCAAAUAUAAAGAUUUUUUACCUUUUAUUAAAA
rnacentral:tRNA from 1 species